UACGUAGGGGGCGAGCGUUGUCCGGAUUCAUUGGGCGUAAAGAGCUCGUAGGCGGCUUGGCAAGUCGGAUGUGAAAACUCCAGGCUCAACCUGGAGCCGCCAUUCGAUACUGCUAUGGCUAGAGUCCGGUAGGGGAGUGUGGAAUUCCCGGUGUAGCAGUGAAAUGCGUAGAGAUCGGGAGGAACACCAGUGGCGAAGGCGGCUACCUGGACCAGCACUGACACUGAGGCACGAAAGCGUGGGGAGCAAACAGG
rnacentral:rRNA from 1 species